UGUGUUUGCACCUCCUCUCGUGUUGGGGUCCCUCCCUCUCUCCUCAGCCACUCUGUUGGGGUCGUUUGCACAGCACAGCUGGGGCGCGUGGGCCACUGUCCGCUUCUCUUCCCGGAACACACACCUUUGCUGGCUGCUGCCCCCUUUGCUCUUUGUCCUCUGGAUCAGGGACCAAAGCUCAGCCCCGGGUCCCAGGGCACUUGAACGUGUGUGGUCCUGGCGAGGGACACGGGGCCUCCUGCCUGGCUCGGGAGGGAGGACCCCACCUUGGCCUCCCCCUCCCCGGGUCUUCGGAGAUGCUGUCAGACCUGGAGCUGCGCGAGCUGGCUCAGCAGGGGAACCUCCAGGGCUGCUUUCCUCAGGUCGGGGCUGGGGCGGCCCUGAAAUCAGAACACACAGGGCAGGAACAGAAACAUUCUUUUGCGGCGUCUGGAGAGAGUGAUGUGGGCCCAAAGCCGUCCCUGAAGAGGCCGCGGAGUGCCUGCCAGCGCCCAGGUGCCAAGCAGGACGUAAGGCCAUCAACCUGCAGGUGGAGCUGGAGGUGCUACAGUGCUUUGAAGCUGGAGAGAUGCUCAGCAGAAUCGGGAAGGCGCUGGGGCUCUCCACCUCCACCGUGGCCACCAUUUGUGACAAGGACAAGAUCUGAGCGAGUUUCCAGGCGGCCACCCCGCAGGCGGCCACCAAGCUGACGCACAGCCGCCGCCUGGCGAUGGAGAACACGGAGCGGCUGCUGAGCGUGUGGAUCGAGGACCAGAACCAGCGCAACACGCGGGGCAACAUGGUGCUUGUCCAGGAGAAGACCGCAGCCUGUUCGAGGAGCUCAGGCGGCAGCAGGGCGAGGGCGCCGAGUCGGAGACCUUCAGGCCUGCCAGGGCCGGUUCAAGGUACGCUUCCGGCUGCGCACCCUGGGGUGGGCCGACGAGGCGGUGCGUGCAGCCCCUGGGGCGCGUGCAGGUACUGUGGGCCGCGCAGGGUGAUCCAGGAGGGGGACUUCACGGCCCGCCAGGUGUUCAGCGUGGAGGAGACCCGGCUCUUCUGGAGGCGGCUGCUGGAUGGGACGGUGCCUUCCGCCCGGAGGAGCGCCCUGGGUUCACAGCCCCCCAAGAUCUACUGACUCUGCUGCUGGGCAGCAACGUGGCCGGUAGCUUGAAGCUGAAGCCGCUGCUGGUGUACCCGGUGGAGAACCUGCGCGCCCUCAGGGGCUUCUCCAAGCCCAGCCUGCCCCUGCUUGGCUCGCCCACAAGAAGGCGUGGGUCACGGUGAGCCUCUUCCCGGAGUGGUUCGUGCACUUCUUCCGCCCUGCGGUGGAGAGGUACUAUGCCUGGCACGGGCUCCCGCGUAAAGCGCAGCUUGUCCCGGACAGCGCUCCUGGCCGCCCUGGAAACCUGGACGACCUCUCCGACCACGUGGGCGUGGAGUCCCUGCCCAAGGAUACCACAGCCCUCAUCCAGCCCAUGACCCAGGACGUGGUCGCCACCUUUAAGGCCUGCCACCUGCGGAGGGUCUUCCGCCUCUUGGCCGCGAGGGCCGGGGGCACAGGCGAGCCGGGAGCGGCCCUGGACGUCUGGCGGGACUACUGCAUCCUUGACACCGCCCCGUACCUCUCCGUGUCCUGGGAGGGGUCCCGCCCUCGUCGCUGAACAGUGGUUGGAGGAGGCCGUGGCCCGAGCGCCUCCAGCACAGAGUCAGCGGCCCCCAGGUGGAAACCCUCCCACAGAUCUGGUGGGACAUCCAGGCGCUGGCGCACCAGGUGGGUUUCAGGGAGGUGGCGGAGGCAGAGGUGGCCGAGCUGCUGCAGAGCCGUGGCUCGGACUGGUCCAAGAGGAGCUGGAGGAGCCGGAGCCGACUGCCGAGGAGGAGGGCAAGGCCAGCCCCGCCACCGCCGCCAGCUCACGGCUGAGCACUUGGCCAGGGCCCUGGCACAUUUCGAUGCCCGCCUGCACAUCAUCAGGGACGACGCCUCCAAGCUGGAGUGCAGCCUCCAGGUCUGCCGGGGUGUGAACAACUUGAUGGGCUGCUGUGGGCGCAUUUCAAGGAGAAGCAAGGCCCCAAGUAGUGGGGUGGGAGGGGUGGGGAAGGAGGGGGCGUCCUCCCUCGCCAGCUCUCACUUGGAAGUGACACUGGUCUUCGUGUUUCCAUCUCAUUAACUCCUCAAAUGUCUUUUGUCAGCAAAUAAUUUAUUAUCUCCAGUGAUCUCAAAUACAUGGUUUUAGAAGCCUC
rnacentral:lncRNA from 1 species